AAAUCAUGGUUAAUCCCUUUACUUUGUAUAUUUUUGCCAAAUUUUGCUUUAUACGUCUGCCUCCUCUAUCUGAAUUGUCUCAUUCAUGCUUCUUCAUUGGGUUCCUCUGGAUAUAUUUUCUAUUUUAGUUUUGCAUGUGUUUGAACUAGAAGUUUCACGAUUUUGACGGAAAAUACAAGCUAAUUAGGGUAUUAUUACUUAGUUUUAGGUUUGGAUCUAACUUUUUUAUGAUUGUUUUAUUUUCGUAGUGCCCGCAUCUUCAAAAUGAAUUGGGACGCUUUCUUAAUUUGCACAAAUCGAGCUCAGCCGGCGGUGAUGUGAGUGGGGGAUGUUAUCUGCAGCUGAGCAGCAGGAGGCUGGAGAAACCCUUGGUGGGUUUUGAAAAGAAAAGACGGAAAUACCCUUUGAAGGAAUCGAAAAGACAGAACCGGAGUUUGAGGGUGAGGGAGAGGAACAACAAUCUUGGAAUUAUGGGUCUGUUGAGGGUGAAGAGGAGAAGAAGGAAGAAGUUCAUGUACAAGAAAAUCAGAAGGAAAUUGACAACAAUGGCAGCUUUGAAGGUGAAAACGUGCUGGAAUUUGAUGGUACAGAGAGGAUUUGAAGAAGAAAGAUGAGUCCAACCAUGCAGGGGUUGCUAUUGAAGAGCAAUACAAAUGACAUUUACCUGAGAAAACUACUAAAUAAUUAAGGAGUAUGCAUAAGAGCAAUUUCAAGUUUAUCACCCUUCUAUCAUUGAUUAAUUUGCAGGAACAACAUAUAACAUUUCUCUGGGCACUGCAAAGAAAAUACUUACAAAGAGUUGAAGAGUUUACGUUAUUUGUGACACAUUGUAUACUCCAGAAGUUGUGACACCACUAGAAUUUGAAUAAUA